UGAGUUAGUUAUUAAAGCUUUAUGCGCUGAGGGAUUGGGAUAUGCUCUAUUAGUUGUUGGCGGGGUAAAAGCCCACCAAGGCUAUGAUAGAUAGCUGGUCUUAGAGGAUGAACAGCCACAAUGGGAUUGAGAUACGGCCCAUAUUCCUACGGGAAGCAGCAGUAGGGAAUCUUCCACAAUGGACGAAAGUCUGAUGGAGCAAUACCAUGUGAACGAUGAAGGUCUUUUUGAUUGUAAAGUUCUUUUAUGAGGGAUAACAACUGAUAGUACCUCAUGAAUA
rnacentral:rRNA from 1 species